rnacentral:lncRNA from 1 species
GAGCCCUCAGAGAGCCCAGCAGGGGCUGCACAUAGCAGGCAUGCUCGAUACUGCUGCUGCCUGAAUCGCCCACAUGCUGGCGGAGGCCGACUCUGCAUCACCACGCGCACUUUGACGAAGCCACUCUCCCCUCCUUCACUCCUUCAUCCACUCGGAGCAAUCACUAAAAAGAGCAAGAGAAAUGCUUUACUAUCAAGCAAAAAUGCAAGAUGCCAAAUUGGGCAAAGAACAAAAAGGAACGUACACACUGAAUGUGCACGUGGUAAGCGCCAGGAGGGAGCUCACAAACGUGACCUCUGGACGAGUGGAGGAAUAUGGAAAGUCUUCAUUUGCAAAGCUCCCAGUACUGGCAGCGCCGUGGCUGCAGCUCCAGCUCGGAGAGGAGGAGGGACUCAGCCAUGCAGCCACUGGAGCUCAGGCACUUCGAUACCUGCUGUUGAUUCCCUGAGAGUCCUUGAUGCGGAACCCACCCGGGAACUUGAGAGAGCCGUGAGAAACCAUUUCCCAAAAGCCUUCCCAGACUUUAUCUGGCCCAAGUUCCCAGGUGACGGGGUUGCAAGGCCGCCCGCCACGCCCACGGUGACAGAGCCUGACUCCCAGCUCGCAGGAGCAUCCUUCACGCCGCGGCGGCCUUCUAGCUCCAGAGCAGGGACGCGAGGUUCUUUUGUACCAUUCUGGAAGAUGGAGAAACUGGAUGACACAGGUUCUGGGAACCAAGAUGGCCUCACCUCCCUCCAUGCAGGUGACCCUGCCAUCUCUGCUCCUGUGUCGGGGUUUCCUAAAUGCACUCCCUGUGUUGGCUGUAGUUAUGUGAACAUUUACUUGUUGCUUAAAAUUAAGGUAAAAGAAUCCCUGGAGAGACCUGUUUACAAAAAAAAAAAAAAAAAAAAACUAAACGCAAGAAUUCCUCCAAUAGCUAAAUAUCCUGUCACAAAGAAUGCAAACUUAACUUGUAUGCAUUCUGGGCAAACUGAUCUAGACCUGCACCGUAUCUGGAAUCUGGGUGGACGUGGGCCGGGGUUUUCCUCUUACUCAUCUCUUACUAGGGGUGCUGGCUCACUCCCAGCUGUAGAUCCCCCGUCUGCAAAAUGA